rnacentral:rRNA from 1 species
UACGGAGGGUGCAAGCGUUAAUCGGAAUUACUGGGCGUAAAGCGCACGUAGGUGGUUUGUUAAGCUAGAUGUGAAAGCCCCGGGCUCAACCUGGGAAUUGCAUUUAGAACUGGCAAGCUAGAGUAGGGUAGAGGGGUGUGGAAUUCCAGGUGUAGCGGUGAAAUGCGUAGAUAUCAGGAGGAAUACCAGUGGCGAAGGCGACCCCCUGGGCCAAUACUGACGCUGAGGUACGAAAGCGUGGGUAGCGAACAGG